CCUAACUGCAACGUGCUGAAAAGACAGAAGCUGAUUGAGGUCCCAGCUUGGUAACAGUUUGAAGAGUUGCAGGACUGGCUGGAUGAGUACUGGCUGCAGCAAAUCAGGCUGCCAGGAUUCUUUAUGGCUGUUUCUGCUUCCACUACAGCUGAGUCAGAAAGGUCGCUGCCCCGUGGUGGCACUAGACGCAGUGGACCUGGCAAGCAAAUGUUUCCGCUAUUAGCUCUCAGCAACAGAGACUCAUUUAUGGUCACCUUGGAAAUCUGGGCUUAUCGAUCUACAGCCCAAGUCUGCUGAGAAGCUGGAGCUUACUAAAGGGGAAACCUGAGAGCUGUUCAAGCCCCAAAUAUUUUCCACUUCUGCGUCACCUCUGCUGUCUGUUAGCAGAGUGGAGGAGAAAAUACACAGCACAAACAACGUGAAAAAAUAGUUACUCUAUUCAUUAAAAGCUGUAACUUCCAGAUUGGACUUGAGAAGCAAUUAAGCAACAGAGGAACCUCAUCUACUAUCUGUAUUCAGGCAUGCUCAUGAGAACACGCUGCUCCAGCUGGACUUAGAGGAACCCGGUGCAUCACAGGCAUUCCUGACAGAGUCUCGUGGUCCUGCUGGUCCACUCAGUGGUACUCAGUCCUCCUCAUUCUCGGGGAUAGGUUCCAAGACCCCCAGGGGAUGCCUGAAACUGCGGAUGGUACCGAACCCUACAUAUAUUAUGUUUUUUUCCUAUACAUACAUACCUAUGAUAAAGCUUAAUUUACAAAUUAGAUAGAGUAAGAGAUUAACAACAAUUACAGCAAUAUACUGAAAUAAAAGUUAUGUGAAUGUGGUCUCUCUCUCUCUCUCUGAAUAUCAUAUUGUAAGUAAUACUUUCAAACCAUGGGUAACUAAAGCAGCUGAAAGUGAUACCUUGGAUCAGGCAGGGCCACUGUCCUGGCUCCCUCUUCCCCACUAGCGCCUUUCUUCCACGUAUAUAGUCAAGACAAGAUUUAAGUGGUGUUUUUCCAUAACGCCUCCCACAAAUGCUCCAGCCUGAAACUGAUUUCUCUUUUCUGAUCUUUAUAGUCCUGUAGUUAGUCAUUCUUAAAGUUCUGUGCAUAUGCUGCAUUCUAUUAUUCAGCCAUGCAGGGCUAUGUCCUGUCAUUAAGAACAGAGGAACAAGCCAGAUCUCUGUAGUCCCAUAACUAAUAUCAUGCCUGGAAUAUAGUGAGUGCUCUUCAAACAUUUCAUAGGUCCUUUUAGAGGUCCUGGGGCAUAGUCAACUUUGGAAGCAUUCAACCAUAAUGAAUUUUAAAUAAAAAUAUAUGAAAAAAAAUUUUUUUAAGCCCCCAAUCUCUGAGCCCAGGAAUUCAAGACCAGCCUAGACGGCAUAGUGAGACCCUGUCUCCACAAAAAAUAAAAAAUAGGGCCGGGCACGGUGGUAUAUGCCUGUAAUCCCAGCACUUUGGGAGACCAAGGCAGGUGGAUCAUUUGAGGUCAGGAGUUCAAGAUCAGCCUGGCCAACAUGGUGAAACCCCAUUUCUACCAAAAAUACAAAAAUUAGCCAGAUGUGGUGGCACACGUCUGUAGUCCCAGCUACUUGGGAGGCUCAGGGAGGAGAAUCUCUUGAGCCUGGGAAGUGGAGGUUGCAGUGAGCUGAGAUUAUGCCACUGUACUCCAGCCUGGGCAACAGAGUGAGACCUUGUCUCAAAAUAAAAUAAAAUAAUAAAAUAAUUCCCCAAAUAUUUUUCUAGCCUUUUAAAAGAUACGUAUUAUGUACUGAAAAAACAACAACAACAACUAGUUUUUCUGUCAGAAUUGUUGUCAAAUACAGGAAACAAUUCAAAUAUCAAAACAUUAAUCAAGAUAAUCUGUGAGUAUGUUCACACACAUGCACAAAUACAAACACGCAAAGCCACACAAACAUCCUAUUACCAAGCGGCUGUGAUUCACUGCAGGGCACAGUGUGUCUCCUGUAUAUGCAGCAAAAUUGCGGACCUCUCGCAAAAGCCUGUGAAGGAGGAGAUAUCUCUAACCUCACAAAUGCUAGCAUUUUGAUGAGUUUUCACUGAAUUUAGCAAACUUUUAGUCUCCUUUAUCCCCAUCUGCCAAGUGAAGAUAUUCUUAUACUUAAUAUUCUUCUCUAAGGUUUUGAAUAGAAAGAAAUAUUGCUACACAUUUUUCUGAAGUCCUUUUCUCUUAUAGGUGAAAUGCCAUCACAUCCUUCAUACUCAUAUUUUUAGGACCAUAGGAGACCCAAUAUAUCUGUCUGUAUUGCAAUAAAUUACAAGGCUUUGACCAAAGACCCAGUUCCUAACUGACUGCUCUUGAAGCCAGCUCCACUGCAGAAUUAAGGAACAGAGAUGAGACUUGUCUGACAUGGGGAACUGUCACAGGAUAAUACCUUUGAAAAGCCUGGUUUUAGAACUUGCCUCUCUCAAUUUGAGGCAGUGUAUGUUUUUAAGUUUCUAAAAAUAAGAUAUUAUAAGAUUUGUAACAUUACAAUGACUGCCAAUGCAAAGAACCUCUGGGACUCUAGUGCAUCAGUGGAAUAUCAGCACAUUGAUGGACAUGUGGACUAUUUGGAUUCAGAAGACCUGGUUUGAGCUCAUCUCUGCUGCCAACUGUCUGUGUGACCUUAAGUAAAAUUAUCUCCUCUCUCUGAACCUCUGAUUCCUCUUUUGUAAAAUGAGGAAGAUGAUGAUACUUGUUUUACAACAAGUGAUUGUGAGGCACACGGGAUGCUAGCCACAAAAGCGUUUCAUAGUUGACGUGUUAGUUACUCAUUAGUAGUUCAAGUAGUGUUGCUCUGCUGCAGUGGUCCUCAAACUUCAGUGUGCAUCAGGAUCACCUGGAGGGCGGGUUAAACUGCACAUUGCUGAGCCACACCUCCAGAGAUUCCAAUUCAGCAGGUCUGGAGGGUGCCUGAGACUUUGUCUUUCUAGCAAGUUCUCAGGUGAUGCUGAAGCUGCUGGUCUAAGAUUGCACUUUGAGAACCACUGCUCUACUGAAAUUCCCAGCCAUUUUCCUUCUUACCUCAUGAUGAAUUCCUUAAAGCAUAACCUCAACUUGUUGUGAUGUCGAUAGAGUUUUGGAUCAGCAGGAAUUUCAGCCAAAAACACUUGG
rnacentral:lncRNA from 10 species